GCAAACUUGGUCAUUUAGAGGAAGUAAAAGUCGUAACAAGGUUUCCGUAGGUGAACCUGCGGAAGGAUCAUUCAAAAUAAAAGUGAAUUUUUUUAUGGCACUUUUAAAACAAUCCAUAUCCACCUUGUGUGCAAUGUUUUUUUUAAAAGAAAGGUCUUGUAAAAGGGACUUUUUUUUUAUAUAUUAACUAUUACAAACUCAUUUUAAAAGAAAUCAUGUCUGAAAAUAAUUAUUAUUGAAUAACUUAAUUCAAAAAUAUAACUUUCAACAACGGAUCUCUUGGCUCUCGCAUCGAUGAAGAACGCAGC
rnacentral:misc_RNA from 1 species